UGAAGCGCUGUGUUAGCGCUGUUUCCGGGAGUAGAUCAAAUUGAUUUUCACACUGCAUUUUCUUUGAUCAAGAGAAAACAAAACAUUGAUUAUUGCGAAAGUAAUCAGUAAAUAGAGGAUAGGCUUACUUCAAUGUAGAAUAUGUCAAUAAUGUCAAACAAACACAUUGACUGGAGUGUUUGAGAUAAGCUUUAUAGAGCUGAUGCUAUAUUUUCUUAAAAAGUGGACUCUGCAAUUUACUGCAACUGAAAAGAUUGUGUUUACGAUUUGAAACUUUAUGAGACGGAUAUGGCCGUUGGUCAUGAUGUGAUAGUUUUGUUGCUGGCGGUAAUAUGCUGUGUUGUAGAGAGCAAGAAGAGGAAUGUUCUUCUUAUUAUCGCGGACGACGCAGGCUUCGAGACGUCGGUCUAUAACAACACCGUGGUCCGUACGCCUCACCUAGCCGCUCUGGGUCGACGCAGCCUGGUGUUCCAGAAUGCCUUCACCUCCGUUAGUAGCUGUUCUCCCAGCCGAUCCACCAUACUGACAGGCCUGCCACAGCAUCAGAAUGGUAUGUACGGCCUGCACCAGGGAGUUCAUCACUUCAACUCGUUUGACGGAGUACAAAGCCUACCUUUACUGCUGGGCCAAGCUAACAUACGCACAGGGAUCAUUGGGAAGAAACACGUAGGUCCUGGUCCUGUCUAUCCCUUUGACUUCGCCUACACAGAGGAAAACAACUCUGUACUUCAGGUGGGUCGGAAUAUCACCCGGAUCAAACUACUGGUCAGGAAGUUCUUCCAGACCCAGAGAAAGGAAGAGGAAGAGAGACCGUUCUUCUUGUAUGUGGCGUUCCACGACACCCACCGCUGUGGCCAUUCCCAGCCGCAGUACGGAGCAUUCUGUGAGAAGUUUGGGAACGGCCAGAGUGGAAUGGGGAGGAUUCCAGAUUGGAAGCCAGAAUACUACACCCCAGACCAAGUCAAGGUGCCCCAGUUCGUCCCAGACACCCCUGUAGCGAGAGCUGAUUUGGCUGCCCAGUACACUACAGUUAGCAGACUGGACCAAGGUAUUGGUCUGGUGCUGGCUGAGUUGAGGGAGGCUGGUUAUGAGAAUGACACCUUGGUGAUCUACAGCUCUGAUAACGGUAUCCCUUUCCCCAACGGACGCACCAACCUGUACGGAUCAGGCACCGCAGAACCCAUGCUGGUGUCAUCACCUGAACACAGGGAGAGAUGGGGAGGGACCAGCCAGGCCUACGUCAGCCUACUGGACAUCACCCCCACCUUACUGGACUGGUUCUCCAUCCCAUACCCCUCAUACUUCCUCCCGGGCACCCCCACCACCCCUGUCAGCCUCACAGGCCGCUCCCUCCUCCCUGCCCUAGUCUCCGAACCCUCACCCGCCGCCUGGCACACCGUCUAUGCCAGGUAAAACCCUCCCCCGCUGCCUGGCACACUGUCUACGCCAGCCAGUCCCUCCAUGAGGUGACCAUGUACUACCCUAUGCGCUCCAUCCACCAGGGGGCGUACCGCCUGCUCCACAACCUCCACUACCGCAUGCCCUUCCCUAUAGACCAGGACUUCUACGUCUCUCCCACCUUCCAGGACCUGUUGAACAACACCCUGACCGGACGGCCCACAGGCUGGUUCAAGACCCUGCAACAAUACUACUACAGGGACCGCUGGGAGCUUUUUGACUUGCGGUCGGACCCAGAGGAGGCUGUGAACCUGGCUGGGGACCCGGCUCUCGCCCCGGUCCUGGAGAGCCUCAGAGACAGACUGCUGAAGUGGCAGUGGGACACUGGGGAUCCGUGGGUCUGUGGACCAGACGCUGUGCUGGAGGACAAACUGGAACCACACUGUCGACCGCUCUACAACGGACUCUGACCGCAACUAGACCACAACUGGACUUUGAUUGAUUGUGGAUCCAAUCAUAUUUAUUUUAUAAAGCCCUUUUAACAUCAGCAGUAGUCACAGUGUGAUUCAUAGUUAGCCGGCCUGAACCUCCACAGAGCAAUCAAUGCAGAAGAAGAAUCACAGUGGCCAGGAACAUCUCCCUAGAAAGAAGGACUCUAGGAAGUAAGAUGACCCAUCCUUUUCUGGCUGUACCAGGUAGAGGCUAAGAGUACAUGUGGCCAUUAAGAGUACAUGUGGCCAUUAAGAGUACAUGUGGCCAUUAAAGGGGUAGUUGGGGAUUUUGUGCCAGCCACAACUGUCUUUAUUUUAAUGUGAGUUAUAACCCAUGAGUGAUGACUAUAGGGCCAGGAGUUUUGACCAGAAACCACCUCGUGACCUGAACAGGAAGAACUAUGGGUUGUGAUUAAGACCAUCGAUGGCUGAAAAACAAAACAAACGUGGCAUAGCUUCAGUACAAAUGUUCUGGACUUCAUACAAUGUAUGUUUUGUAUGAUUUCAGUUUGACAACAUCUAGAUGUUGUUGGGAUUUUAUGCAUUUUGUCAAAUAAAGUAUUUUUUUUGCUUCUCCUGUU